UAUGAAUUUGGAUCUACUAUAAAUUAAUUUUUUUAUAUGGCUUUACACACUUCAGAACACAAACACAAUUAGGGUUUCUUAUUGAAUCUCUAUGCGCUCCUCCAUCAGUGUGUGAACCCGAUUGUAGAACAUGCUCCUUCUCCAUGAUACAUCGGAAACAUUAACUCUUCAAGCUUAUCCUGUUCGUGUCUAAAGAUCAAGGUACGCGUAUCUUUUCGUUGUUUUUUUUUUAAUUUCUUCUUCGUUGUUCCCUUGAUUCUGAUUACCUCCGGGCGAUUAUGAGGAAAUCAUCUUCCAUAAAUCGCAAAACUUGAUUUCUGGUUCAAUCUCAGGUUUGAUCAUCCAAGGUUCGUAUCAUAAAUCACAAACUCACUUCUCUCAAACCCUAAAUCCCAAAAUCGCAAACCUGUUUCAUCUGUUCUCAUCGAUUCAUCAUUAUAUGCAAUCGAUUAUGAUAAAACAAGAAACAAAGUAACAAAAUUAGGGUUUGAAUUGAUACCAGAUCAACAGUUUCAUCAUCUUUCCAGUUGGUUAAUUCACUGGUUUUUUAUUCAUUUAUUAUAGUUAUUGACAUAAAUUUGUAUGCAGUUCUCAAAUCUUGGCUCACUUCAAUCACAUGGCUUUGCUAGAAACAGAUUCUGGACCAUAGACAAUAAACCAUCUCCAGAUACAUUCAAGGUCACCAAUGGGGUUUUUGUUGAUUUGUUACUAAAGCCGGCCGAAGAAGAUUUGAAGAUAUGGCCUCACAGAUAUGGAUCACAUUAACAACAGUCCUUCAUUUUUAAAGCUUAUUGAGGAAGAUGACCCAAUAUUUUUGGUAUGUUAUAUGUACGAGUAUGCCAUAUGGUUCAAGUUCUCUUGAGUCCUCAGUAAGCUUUUUAAAUUUUUAUUUUUACUUCAAGAUAUUAAGAUAUUCUUAUUAACUAUGUUGGAUUUUUUUUUCUCUUUCUUGAGGAGUUGUGAAUUAGUUCGCUUUUCAAGUACUUUGCUUCUGAAGGUAAAAUCUACAGAGGAAAUUACGAGAAUUAGAUAAACUAACCGACUUUAUCUUUUUUUUUAUUUCAUUUAUUUCUAUUGAAAUAUGUAUAGAAAUACAAUACUUUAUAUCAUUUUACUAUUAGUAAUGACACAUAUUUUUACAGAUUGCAAUAGAAGUUUAGGAUGCAAGUGCACAU